rnacentral:rRNA from 1 species
UACGAAGGGGGCUAGCGUUGCUCGGAAUCACUGGGCGUAAAGCGCACGUAGGCGGCUUUUUAAGUCAGGGGUGAAAUCCUGGAGCUCAACUCCAGAACUGCCUUUGAUACUGAGAAGCUUGAGUCCGGGAGAGGUGAGUGGAACUGCGAGUGUAGAGGUGAAAUUCGUAGAUAUUCGGAGGAACACCAGUGGCGAAGGCGGCUCACUGGCUCGGUACUGACGCUGAGGUGCGAAAGCGUGGGGAGCAAACAGG